rnacentral:snoRNA from 1 species
AACCCAUGGUGAAAGCACCUUCUCAGUCAGUCCUUGUAUCUCUCCCAUGCAUCGUAAUGUGUUUCUAAAUCCAUCUGCACAAAAGAAGAAAUAUCAUUACCUAAUUU